AGUACUUGGAAGAGUUUUCAAUAAAAAAGUGCAGUUCAAUUGAAAGAUUGGACCUUUCACAAUUAAUUUGUCUUAAACGAUUAUGCGCCAAGCAUUGCAAUAACCUAGUUGAAGUUCAAGGUCAUGAUAAUUUGGAGUUCUUGGAGGGCAUAUUAAUAUGUGAUUGCAAUUCCAUUAAAAGGUUUCUCUGUCCAAAAGCACGGUUUUUGGAGGAAUUACAGGCCAUCGGGUGCAACAAUCUAGUCGAAAAUUGAGGUCUUGACGAUGUGUAGUUCUUAGAAAAAUUGGAUAUUACAUGACAAUGGAGACUUUGCCAAGUUUGACGGGAUGUGAGAAGUUACAAUCUCUACUAAUUAAAGACUACAAGAAACUUACUUAGCUUCAGGGACUUGUAAAGAUGGAUUCAGAUCUUUUGGAUAUUCAAGAUUGCGACUCAUUGGAAACGCUGCUAAAAUUAUCUAGAACAUGCAUCACUGGAAAUUACAAAAGAGAUCUAUCUCGAUCUCUCUGUUGAAAUAUUAUAUUACAGUGAUAAUGAUGUGAUGAAUCUUAUGCCCAUAUUACAUCAGUGAGACGAGUCAUGUUUCCUUGACAGAGGGUUCUGCACUUCCCUAAAUUGCUAGUAUUACAUAAUCGAAGGAGCAAGGGUGGUUGGUCAUAGAAGCUGACAUGAUGCUUCAGCCAAGAUCAAAAUAUAGACCCUAAUGUCAAUAGAAGGCCUUGGUUAUCUCAUAAGAUUCUUCAUCGUUGAACGGCCAGCAUGAGCGAAUGGAGUAACACUUUUCUUGAAGCUAUAUUUUUUAAGAAUGAUUUGCUCCACACCUGGUAUCUAUUUGAUUUAUUUUGGAGACUCUGGAUUUGCCAACAUAUAUUUGCUGUUGAUUACGUUAUCGCAAUGUUUUUCAUUUAUCCUUCCAUUGGCAGCUUUUGUAGACUGCAAACAGAUUAGCAACUUGUGAAACAAGAAUGAAAAUAUCAACAUAGCUCUCUGUAACUUGGGAAUUGAAUUUUUCAUCUAGAGGUCAAUGAUCUUCUGCUACUCAAUAUUGUAAACUAUGGCAACUAUCCAUUUUCCCUAUGUUCAAAAUUCAUAUUUUCUUUGAAAAAAAUCCUUGGCCAUUUUGAGUUCCUUUGUGAGUUCUGUUAUGUGUCAAAUUUGACUAAUGGCAGAUACCGUUGGGGAUAAACACAUUUCGAUUUUCCGUGAUGAACCCUGGCAAGUUUCUUAGUGUUCCCUAGAUGUUCCUCUUGAACCUUCUAGAUAAGCAUUAAUUCCAGUAAGUACAAGGAACUGAGCUAAAAUAAAAAUCAAAGGUCAAGUAUUUCUGGUUGGUGAUUAAAAAAAAAUGGAGAUUAUUUUUGGCUAGUCUCUCAUAUAUGAUUCUAGACUGCCUAUUCUUAACCUGCAGUCGAAUUAUUAUUUUGAAAGAUUAUCAAGCAAGGUAAAUUGGUAUUGUUUCUACGACGAGUCUGGUUGGUCUAUGUGAUGAUCAAGGCUUGCUUUGGGACUUCAAUUUGAUGAGCUGUAUCGAUGAUCUUUUGCAUGAUUGGGACAAAUUUUUUUCCCUUUAAACAAGCGGGGACGAGGAGCUCAAGAACUGUUUAAUAAGUCUGCAUCCCAUCCGAUCCUAUUGUUGUCAUGGAAUCGUUUUAUCACAUGAUUAAUCUGAGUCUGGCUAACUUGGCUGAGGAACUUCAAAUUCCAUGCUAGAGACCGAUCAAAAUGAAGAAGAUAUAUUUUGCAAAGGAGGCAUCAGCAACAGCUGAGGACCAUCUUUUGUGCCAACCUUAAAGAGGCUCAUGGGCCAACUGGAGUGUGUUUAGGAAGUUUUGAUGCUUGUGAGGAUCCAAAACACUAUAUCUGAUCUCAACAUCACAUGCCUGAAUGAUUUAAAUGUUGUAUUUUCAGUUGAGUCUGCUUUUGGUAUGCUCACGAGGUUCAACCUCUCUAUCAAUCAAAUGUGUAGCUACUGAUUCUUUUGUUUGUCACCCUAAUGCAGAGGUAUUUGAUGUCGUUGCAUUCUAAUGUUAUCACGCCUGAACUCAAUGAGGCUCUGUAGAGAGAGGUAUGCACUACUAGUCGUACCAUAACAAUGAAAAAAUAACUUGUGUGCUUAUACCAUAUGACCUGUGGAAUUUCACCUGAAAAUUAGUAAGCAAGUAUGCAUGAGGACAAUCUCCUCCAUUUCUUUCAGUUUAUCAAUGCGAUACUAUCCUUUGAAUGUUGUCAUAUAGGAUUCUGAUUUUUUUUUUUUUUUUAAUUUGAUAAGCUCAAUUCUCAUGAGAUGUUGACUUUGUAAAGUUGAAAUUCACCUCCUAGCAAAUUAUCUUGUACCGCUGAUUUUGUUAAUGGGAUAUUGCAAAAUAACCAAGUAACAAAUUCAUCUUUCUGUUCUGCAGUUUAGGCACUUCCAUCUUUUGAGCAUAAUUUUAUUAACAUCAAUUAUGUUCCUAACCACAAAAAAGGAAAGUGUUGCUAAUUGCUUUUGUCUCCAAAGCCUGUUGUUUUCUUUUUCAUUAGCCAACUGAUGAGUUUUUUGUUCAUUGCUGUCCAACUGCAAUUGGGGCAAAUGAUACUUUGUGCAUUUGUACCUUGUCUUUCACGGUGUAUAUUGUGAUGCUCCGAUCUUAGUUAUCUUCAUUCAUUAAUAAUUAGUAAAUCCUAUCCUUCUUGUGUAGAUUCAACCUGCAUUUCAUAAAAUUUAGAUAACAUCCCCAAACAUCACAGGAA